UAGUCCACGCCGUAAACGAUGAUCACUCGUUGUUGGCAAUACAUAGUCAGCGACCAAGCGAAAGUAUUAAGUGAUCCACCUGGGGAGUACGCUCGCAAGAGUGAAACUCAAAGGAAUUGACGGGAGCCCGCACAAGCGGUGGAACAUGUGGUUUAAUUCGAUGAUACGCGAGGAACCUUACCUGGGCUUAAAUGUAGGACGACGAUACGGGAAACCGAAUCUCUCUUCGGAGCGGACUACAAGGUGCUGCAUGGUUGUCGUCAGCUCGUGCCGUGAGGUGUUGGGUUAAGUCCCGCAACGAGCGCAACCCCUAUUGUUAGUUGCCAGCAUUAAGUUGGGGACUCUAGCAAGACUGCCGGCGUAAGCCGCGAGGAAGGUGGGGACGACGUCAAAUCAUCAUGGCCUUUAUGCCUAGGGGCGACACACGUGCUACAAUGGUACAUACAGAGGGGUUGCGAAGCCGCGAGGGUGGGAGCUAAUCUCAGAAA
rnacentral:rRNA from 1 species